GACGAACGCUGGCGGCGUGCCUAAUACAUGCAAGUUGAGCGAUGAAGAUUGGUGCUUGCACCAAUUUGAAGAGCAGCGAACGGGUGAGUAACGCGUGGGGAAUCUGCCUUUGAGCGGGGGACAACAUUUGGAAACGAAUGCUAAUACCGCAUAACAACUUUAAACAUAAGUUUUAAGUUUGAAAGAUGCAAUUGCAUCACUCAAAGAUGAUCCCGCGUUGUAUUAGCUAGUUGGUGAGGUAAAGGCUCACCAAGGCGAUGAUACAUAGCCGACCUGAGAGGGCGAUCGGCCACAUUGGGACUGAGGCACGGCCCAAACUCCUACGGGAGGCAGCAGUAGGGAAUCUUCGGCAAUGGACGAAAGUCUGACCGAGCAACGCCGCGUGAGUGAAGAAGGUUUUCGGAUCGUAAAACUCUGUUGGUAGAGAAGAACGUUGGUGAGAGUGGAAAGCUCAUCAAGUGACGGUAACUACCCAGAAAGGGACGGCUAACUACGUG
rnacentral:rRNA from 1 species